rnacentral:rRNA from 1 species
UGAAUACGAGACGCUAAGGCGUCGAAGUAGUGUAUGUCAUACUUCCAAGAAAAGCUUGCACUGUCAUAGAUAAAAAACGCCUGUACCAUAACCGACACAGGUGGGUAGGUAGAGUAUACUAAGGGGCGCGAGAUAACUCUCUCUAAGGAACUCGGCAAAAUAACUCCGUAACUUCGGGAGAAGGAGUGCCUUAUUCGUAAGGUUGCAAUAACAAGAUCCAAGCAACUGUUUAUCAAAAACACAGGUCUCCGCUAAGUCGUAAGACGAUGUAUGGGGGCUGACGCCUGCCCAGUGCCAGAAGGUUAAAGAAGUUGGUUAGCAAUUGCGAAGCUGAUAACUGAAGCCCUGGUGAACGGCGGCCGUAACUAUAACGGUCCUAAGGUAGCGAAAUUCCUUGUCGGGUAAGUUCCGACCCGCACGAAAGGCGUAAUGAUUUGGAUACUGUCUCGGAGAGGGGCUCGGUGAAAUAGACUUGUCUGUGAAGAUGCGGACUACCUGCACCAGGACAGAAAGACCCUAUGAAGCUUUACUGUAACUUGAAAUUGAAAUUGGACUUUAUUCGCGCAGUAUAGGUGGGAGGCGUUGAUUAUAAUCUUGUGGGAUUAUUGGAGCCAUCAGUGAGAUACCACUCUUGUAAUGUUAGAUUUCUAACUUUGAAUCAUUAUCUGGUCAAAGAACAGUUUCAGGCGGGCAGUUUGACUGGGGCGGUCGCCUCCUAAACGGUAACGGAGGCGUACAAAGGUUUCCUCUGAACGGUUAGAAAUCGUAUCUAGAGUGUAAAGGCAUAAGGAAGCUUGACUGUGAGACCUACAAGUCGAGCAGGGACGAAAGUCGGUCUUAGUGAUCUGACGGUACUGAGUAGAAAGGCCGUCACUCAACGGAUAAAAGUUACUCUAAGGAUAACAGGCUGAUCUCCCCCAAGAGUUCACAUCGACGGGGAGGUUUGGCACCUUGAUGUCGGCUCAUCGCAUCCUGGGGCGGUAGUACGUCCCAAGGGUUGGGCUGUUCGCCCAUGAAAGCGGUACGCGAGCUGGGUUCAGAACGUCGUGAGACAGUUCGGUCCAUAUCCGGUGUAGGCGUUAGAAUAUUGAGAGGAGCCUUCUUUAGUACGAGAGGACCGAGAAGGACAUACCUCUGGUGUACCAGUUAUCGUGCCAACGGUAAACGCUGGGUAGCUAUGUAUGGAGUGGAUAACCGCUGAAAGCAUCUAAGUGGGAAGCCCACCUCAAGAUAAGUA